rnacentral:tRNA from 1 species
GGGCGUGUGGUCUAGUGGUAUGAUUCUCGCUUUGGGUUUCUAAGCUCAAAUAUGUGAGAGGCCCUGGGUUCAAUUCCCAGUAUGCCCC